CCUACGGGAGGCAGCAGUGGGGAAUUUUGGACAAUGGGCGCAAGCCUGAUCCAGCAAUGCCGCGUGCAGGAUGAAGGCCUUCGGGUUGUAAACUGCUUUUGUACGGAACGAAACGGUCCUUUCUAAUACAAGGGGCUAAUGACGGUACCGUAAGAAUAAGCACCGGCUAACUACGUGCCAGCAGCCGCGGUAAUACGUAGGGUGCGAGCGUUAAUCGGAAUUACUGGGCGUAAAGCGUGCGCAGGCGGUUAUAUAAGACAGAUGUGAAAUCCCCGGGCUCAACCUGGGACCUGCAUUUGUGACUGUAUAGCUAGAGUGCGGCAGAGGGGGAUGGAAUUCCGCGUGUAGCAGUGAAAUGCGUAGAUAUGCGGAGGAACACCGAUGGCGAAGGCAAUCCCCUGGGCCUGCACUGACGCUCAUGCACGAAAGCGUGGGGAGCAAACAGGAUUAGAUACCCUGGUAGUCCACGCCCUAAACGAUGUCAACUGGUUGUUGGGUCUUCACUGACUCAGUAACGAAGCUAACGCGUGAAGUUGACCGCCUGGGGAGUACGGCCGCAAGGUUGAAACGUCAAAUGAAAUUGACG
rnacentral:rRNA from 1 species